GUGCUCGCUUCAGCAGCACAUAUACUAAAAUGGAGCGACACAUAGAAGAUUAGCAUGGGUUCUGCACAAGGAUGACACGCAAAUUCAUGAAGCAUUCUAUAUUUAA